GUGGGGAAUAUUGGGCAAUGGGGGAAACCCUGACCCAGCGACGCCGCGUGAGGGAAGAAGGCCUUAGGGUCGUAAACCUCUGUUGUGUGGGAAGAAGAGCGUGACGGUACCACACGAGGAAGUCCCGGCUAACUACGUGCCAGCAGCCGCGGUAAUACGUAGGGGACGAGCGUUGUCAGGAUUUACUGGGCGUAAAGGGCGCGUAGGCGGUCAUUUAAGUCAGCUGUGAAAUGGUUUGGCUUAACCGGAUCAUGCGGUUGAAACUGGAUGACUGGAGUGCUGGAGAGGCAAGUGGAAUUCCCAGUGUAGCGGUGAAAUGCGUAGAUAUUGGGAAGAACACCGGUGGCGAAGGCGACUUGCUGGCCAGCAACUGACGCUGAGGCGCGAAAGCCAGGGGAGCAAACGGGAUUAGAAACCCGAGUAGUCC
rnacentral:rRNA from 1 species